rnacentral:rRNA from 1 species
GAUGAACGCUGGCGGCGUGCCUAACACAUGCAAGUCGAACGGAAGCACAGUAAGCUCUUGCUUCUACUGUUGGCGACGGGCGGACGGGUGAGGCGUGCAUCGCAUUCUUCUUUUUCUUGGAUAAUAUCGGAAGACCAGAUCCGCUAAUAGAGCAUAUUAUCUACCGCAUAAUUCAAUAGUGAAUCAGACUCUUCGCGUUUCAAUUAGCCGAUGUCGCAUUAGCUAGUUGGCAGGGUAAAGGCGCACCAAGUCAACGAUCCGUAGCCGAUCUGAGAGGAUGAUCAGCCACACUGGAACUGAGACACGGUCCAGACUCCUACGGGAGGCAGCAGUAGGGAAUCUUCCGCAAUGGGCGAAAGCCUGACGGAGCAACGCCGCGUGAGUGAUGAAGGCCUUCGGAUCGUAAAACUCUGUUAUUAGGGAAGAACAGAUGUAUAAGUAACUGUGCACAUCUUGACGGUACCUAAUGAGAAAGCCACGGCUAACUACGUG